rnacentral:rRNA from 1 species
CCAGACUCCUACGGGAGGCAGCAGUGAGGAAUAUUGGUCAAUGGGCGAGAGCCUGAACCAGCCAAGUCGCGUGAAGGACGACGGUUCUAUGGAUUGUAAACUUCUUUUGUAGAGGAAUAACGGUAGCUACGUGUAGCUGAGAUGCAUGUACUCUACGAAUAAGUAUCGGCUAACUCCGUGCCAGCAGCCGCGGUAAUACGGAGGAUACGAGCGUUAUCCGGAAUUAUUGGGUUUAAAGGGUGCGUAGGUGGCGUAUUAAGUCAGUGGUGAAAAGCUGCAGCUCAACUGUAGUCUUGCCGUUGAAACUGAUAUGCUAGAGAGGAGACGAGGUAUGCGGAAUGUGUGGUGUAGCGGUGAAAUGCAUAGAUAUCACACAGAACGCCGAUUGCGAAGGCAGCGUACCAGGCUCCGUCUGACACUGAAGCACGAAAGCGUGGGGAUCAAACAGGAUUAGAUACCCUGGUAGUCCACGCAGUAAACGAUGAAUACUAGAUUUUUGCGAUAUACUGUAAGAGUCUAAGCGAAAGCGAUAAGUAUUCCACCUGGGGAGUACGCCGGCAACGGUGAAACUCAAAGGAAUUGACGGGGGCCCGCACAAG